rnacentral:rRNA from 1 species
AUUGAACGCUGGCGGCAGGCCUAACACAUGCAAGUCGAACGAAUGGCGGACGGGAGAACAAUUGCUGGGCAACUGCCUGAUGGACCGGGCUAACUACUAGAACCGGUAGCUACUACCGCAUACCACCAGAUCUGCCCAGACGGGAGUAGCUAGUUGGUGGGGUAACGGUUCAUCAAGGCGACGAUGCCCAGCUGGUCUGAGAGGGUGAACGGCCACACUGGAACUGAGACACGGUCCAGACUCCUACGGGAGGCAGCAGUGGGGAAUCUUGCACAAUGGGCGCAAGCCUGAUGGAGCCAGGCCGAGUGUGUGAAGAAGGUCUUCGGGUUGUAAAGUACUGUCGGCGGGGAAGCGGUAUCCGCCGAAGAAGCACUGGCUAACUCCGUGCCAGCAGCCGCGGUAAUAC